rnacentral:rRNA from 1 species
CCUACGGGUGGCAGCAGUGGGGAAUAUUGCACAAUGGGCGCAACCCUGAUGCAGCGACGCCGCGUGAGUGAAGACUUAUUUCGGUGUGUAAAGCUCUAUCAGCAGGGAAGAAAAUGACUGUACCUGAUUAAUAAGCCCCGUCUAACUACGUGCCAGCAGCCCCGGUACUACGUAGGCGGCAAGCGUUAUACGGAUUUACUGGGUGUAAAGGGAGCGUAGACGGCAGGACAAGUCUGGAGUGAAAGGUCGGGGCUUAACCCCGGAACUGCUUUGGAAACUGUGCAGCUAGAGUGCAGGAGAGGUAGGUGGAAUUCGUGGUGUAGCGGUGAAAUGCGGAGAUAUCAGGAGGAACACCAGUGGCGAAGGCGACUUACUGGACUGUAACUGACGUUGAGGCUCGAAAGCGUGGGUAGCAAACAGGAUUAGAUACCCGGGUAGUC